rnacentral:ncRNA from 2 species
AUAUGAUCUUCGGUCAGGCGAUUAACGAACUCAAGCUUUUAUUUGGGGAGGUUAAUGGUGCUGGGCUUAUUAUAGCAGCGGGUUUAAUAACCUGUGGGACCAUU